rnacentral:rRNA from 1 species
CCUACGGGAGGCAGCAGUGGGGAAUAUUGGACAAUGGGGGGAACCCUGAUCCAGCCAUGCCGCGUGUGUGAAGAAGGCCCUCGGGUUGUAAAGCACUUUCAGUGAGGAAGAACGCCUGGUGGUUAAUACCCAUCAGGAAAGACAUCACUCACAGAAGAAGCACCGGCUAACUCCGUGCCAGCAGCCGCGGUAAUACGGAGGGUGCGAGCGUUAAUCGGAAUUACUGGGCGUAAAGCGCGCGUAGGUGGCUUGAUAAGCCGGUUGUGAAAGCCCCGGGCUCAAACUGGGAACGGCAUCCGGAACUGUCAAGCUAGAGUGCAGGAGAGGAAGGUAGAAUUCCCGGUGUAGCGGUGAAAUGCGUAGAGAUCGGGAGGAAUACCAGUGGCGAAGGCGGCCUUCUGGACUGACACUGACACUGAGGUGCGAAAGCGUGGGUAGCAAACAGGAUUAGAUACCCUGGUAGUC